GCCACCUGCCCAGGAGAAGGGAUCCAGCAAGGAGAGGGCAAGAGAGUGGCUGGAGGAGGAGGGCACCUUAGCAAUUGCCUUUGGGCCCGUGGGUAAGACGAAUGGAGCUUGACCAUGUGAUUAGUCAAUGUGGUGGCCUCAAGAAGGUCACUGUGCAGGCAUGUGCUUAGUCCAGUGACCCUAAAAAGAGGUGUUCUUUUUAAAAAAUAAGCAUUUACUUAGCUUAUGGGUUUACAGGUCCACACAGUAGGUGGGGUGGGGUUGGCAGUCCCCUGGCUGCCUGGCUUGCUCGUCUGCGGACUCCCAGCUGGGCAUCAGGGUGGGCAGCUACGUGCAAACAGCGGUCCAGGCAGCUGUGAGGACACAGCCUGGAGUCCCCAUCUCAGCCUUCAUCCUAGCUGCUGGCCCUCCUCCCCUCUGCAGUCACAGUUACUUUUGCAAAGCACCAAUCUGAUCAUUUUCUCUGACUUAAGAAUUCCAGUGCCUUUCUGUCUCUUUGAGGGUAUUUUGUGAAGCCUUAACCCAUCCUCUGACCUUGGGCUCCACAGCACUCAGCCACAUCCCUGCCUGCAGCGUUUCAGAGGGAGCUGGACAUUGCUGUUGCUUGUGCAGUUAGCAAGGGUCUCCCUUGAUCGGCUCUACGCUCCGUGAGGACAAGAACUCAGCACUACUUUGCUUCACAGUUGUGUCCCCAGCACUGAGGCCCCAGCACACAGCAGGUGCUCCUAAAACAUCUGUUUAGGUGAGAAAAUGCAACCCCAGCUCGUGAUUCUUAUUUUAUCUGAGAACUAUACAUUUUUUUUUUAGGCUCUUGGGGGAAACGGCUCUUUGUAGGACUACUAAGUGUGUUCUGUUACUGGCUAUCAUGCUGUAUAUUAUAAUGCUUCUGGCACAGUAAAAGUAUCACAGAGGACGACAGAAGCUCUCAGUCCUUCCUUCCUUCCAGGUACAAGAUAAACUGUUGGAAAGCUCGAGGAGAGGCAUGAGGACGCUCAGUGUCUACCUGACCACAGAUGAUGUGCUUAACAGGCUGACCUCCACAGACAGCUGCAGCGACCAGGAAGCGAGGGCAGGGGUGCCUCUGGGAAGCCUCCCGGGGAGCGGCUCUCGCCAGCAAACACACCUUCCAUUUAGGAGAAGGGAAAUGUGAAGCUUGUCGGCAGCACACCUGUUAACACAUUGCAUCAGGCUAAUGUAGCCCUUUCUUCAUGAAGCCUCCCGAAUGCUCACAGUGUCCUAUUAGGAGGGUGACAGCAAAACCAAGUAAUAAGAACAUGCAGAUGGCUGUCUAGAGCUGCUUCUCUGCUUCUGUCAUUGUGACAAAAUUCCUGAGAUAACCGACUUAGAAGGAGAAAAGGUUUAUUUUAGCUCCUGGUUGUUUGGCCCUGCUGCUUUGGGCUGGUGGCAGCAUAGUAUGAAAGGGCAGGAGCACUCAGUGGAGGAAGCCUGCUCACCUCAUGGUGGCCAGGAAGCCGAGAGAGAGGACGAGGAGGGGCCAGGGCCCCAACAUUCCCGUCCAGGGCACGCUCCCCCCACCCCACAGUGGCCUCACCUCCUACCGCAAGCCCCACCUCUGCCACGUUCCAUCACUUCCCAGUAGCACCCUGGACUGGGGAAUGAGCCUCUUCACCAUGUGGACCUUUGAGGAACAUUCCAGAUACAAACUGUAGCAAGCAAUGAGUACUCGUGAGGCCUGUUCCCUAGCAGACGAACACGUACGAUGUGCAUGUGCUCCCACCCCUCUGCUUAGGAGGGCAGAGCACCCAACUGCAGAAUGCGGAAGAAGCAGAGUCAAAACACCAAAUGGUCUUUCAGAGUUAAACAGACGCUUAAAAUACCAAGUUUGUUUAGUCUUCUCAGUUAAUCCAUCAUCCAUCUAAUUCGAAUUCACUGUUUCUGUUAAUAAACAUCAUGUCCAGUGGGGGCUGGGGCCAAGAGAAAAGGCCUUCAGGUACAGGAGGACAGACGUCUUCAGAGAAUGUUCCAAGAGAAACCCCACACUCCAGGCUCUGCAGACCGAGGUAUUUUGCAGUGAAUAUGCUACAAAAGAAUUUGUUAAAGUAAUCGCCUUUACUAGUCGGUGGUUUCCACAGCAGCUGCACAGCAACUCACGUGCAUAAUCGGGCUCUAAUGAAGGGGACAGCCAACUGUGCCAGAGGAUACUCUAUCCCAAUCUUCUCCGCAUGUGGGUGAAGCCAGCUAUUGUCUACAACCGUGUUCUGUGAACUCUCUAAUAUGCAUGUCACAUUAUUCUGUCCUGUCCCCAGACUGGCCACUAUUACCUCCGUUAUAUGUGUCUGGGGUGGGUGAGAGUUGAAGUAACUUGACCAGGCUCACACCAUAAGUUCAAGUUUGGAUUCCACAUCUGUGCAACUCAUCCACAUUUAAUUCCUCCAGUACUUCAUGCUGAUUAAAAAAAAAAAAAAAAGCUCCUCUGCAAAGUUGUUUCUGAUCAUUUUAGUCUAAAUUCCACAUUUCUCAGGCUAUAAUGGAAGCAGAUCUUAUUUUACAAAGCAGGAUCCAAGCCCUACAGGACUGGAGGUCUCCUUAGGCCUCUCAUCAUCCUGAGGAGUCGCCCAGGCAACAGCCUAUGGAAGCUGAGUCCCCACACCUGGCUGUGUCUGUCCCUGAAUAGAGGCUCCAGCCAACUGAGGCCCAGGAGCCAGAGCGCCUCGGGGCUCUGUGUCCUGCCUGGGGCCCACCUCAGCCCAGGAGAGGCCGUUUUUUUGGAAUUGCUCUGCUAAGACAGGGCACUUUCUGGCAAGGUUUCCCAGGUCGCCCUUGCCUGAGUCACAUGGGACCUGGAGGCAUGCUGGCUGCAGGGGAGUAAAGGCCCCCACCUGCAUAUUUGCACCCUCAAGGGCAGGGAGUGCUGUGUGGAAGCCUCCCAUGCCAGCAGGCAUGUCAGCAGGGAUGCCAGAAGGGAUGCCAGGCCAGAGGGAGUGAGCCCUGAGGGAAGGGGGCGGGGCAGAGCCCUGGGCAUCCAAGGCCACUGUGAACAAACCCACCAUAUUUAAGGAAGCCAAACUGUGGAUCCUGAUAUUCCAUAGAGUUCUAUUAUGUUCUCAAUGUUUUAUAAUGAGAAACAACAAAAUUUACUUCAGACCUCACUUUAUGUACCUGCAUUGCUUCCAAGGGACCAUUAACGUUAAAAUUAAAUUGAUUAAGGAUUUGGUGGAAACAUUUUAUAUGGAAUCAUGCUAAAUGGAAAAAAUCCUAAUACAGAAAAUUAGAGUGUAAGGGUAAAAGAAAUUGAAGUUAAAGCGUAAAAGUUAAAGGGUAAAAGACCAGGUGUUGUAAAGUUUCUAAGCUGCAAGGUCUGAGUUAAAAUGUAAAGGAUUAGGUAUUGUUAGGUUUCUAUGUUACCUGCAAAACCUGAAAUUUCUGCAGCUGUUAAGACAAUGCUUAGAACCGCCCAGUAAACAUUUCCCCUGGCUGUUUGGUUGUUUAAUAACUGAAGGGCUCUGUGUAACUGGUCACGUAGUCCUUUAGGCCCUAAAACCAAUCAGUUUGAAUGGGUACCCCGUUUAGGAAUGACCUAUCACUCCAGCCUGACCUGUUCCCACCAAUGAAUGAACUAAUCAUGUUUAGGAGUUGUUGUUCAGUUUUCCCGCGCCUCAUGAUGAUUUGUUCUGAUGUAUACAAAGCCCUCCGCCCUCCCCAAAAAGUGUACUUAAGCAGUGCUCAGCCCCUGCUCGGGGCUCUGGGCUGCUUUCCCUUCUUGAGUGGGCACGGAGCCCCAGCAUGCUGGUUCAAUAAAUCCCCUUCUGCCAAUUGCAUGAGUGGUCACUUGGUGGUCUCUUUCUCCGACGCUUCGCCUGACCCUUACAACAGGAUGCUCUGAGACAAAGACACCCUGAGGAUAAUGAAUCUGGUGUUUUUCCUGUUGUUGAUGCCUUUAAGUUUGUUAAAA
rnacentral:lncRNA from 1 species